UUGGAGGGCAAGUCUGGUGCCAGCAGCCGGGGUAAUUCCAGCUCCAAUAGCGUAUAUUAAAGUUGCUGCAGUUAAAAAGCUCGUAGUUGAAUUUCGGGAUCAAUAUGUCGGUCGUGCCUCGGUACGUACUGGCAUCGUUGGUUUCUCCCUUCUGACGAACCAUGAUGUCAUUUAUUUGGUGUCGUGGGGAAUCAGGACUGUUACUUUGAAAAAGUUAGAGUGUUUAAAGCAGGCUCACGCUUGAAUACAUUAGCAUGGAAUAAUGAAAUAGGACGUUUGAUUCUAUUUUGUUGGUUUCUAGGAUCGACGUAAUGAUUAAUAGGGAUAGUUGGGGGCAUUAGUAUUCAAUUGUCAGAGGUGAAAUUCUUGGAUUUAUUGAAGACUAACUACUGCGAAAGCAUUUGCCAAGGAUGUUUUCAUUAAUCAAGAACGAAAGUUAGGGGAUCGAAGACGAUCAGAUACCGUCGUAGUCUUAACCAUAAACUAUGCCGACUAGGGAUCGGAUGAUGUUAAUUUUUUAAUGACUCAUUCGGCGCCUUACGGGAAAC
rnacentral:rRNA from 1 species